rnacentral:rRNA from 1 species
AUACGUAGGGUGCAAGCGUUAAUCGGAAUUACUGGGCGUAAAGCGUGCGCAGGCGGUUUUGUAAGGCAGUGGUGAAAUCCCCGGGCUCAACCUGGGAACUGACAUUUUGACUGCAAGGCUGGAGUGCGGCAGAGGAGGAUGGAAUUCCGCGUGUAGCAGUGAAAUGCGUAGAUAUGCGGAGGAAAACCGAUGGCGAAGGCAUUCCCCGGGGCCUCCACUGACGCUCAUGCCCGAAAGCGUGGGGAGCAAACAGGAUUAGAUACCCUAGUAGUCCACGCCCUAAACGAUGUCAACUGGUUGUUGAGGAUUUAUUUUCUCAGUAACGAACCUAACGCGUGAAGUGGACCGCCUGGGGAGUACGGCCGUAAGGUUAAAACUCAAAUGAAUUGACGGGG